UAAGGUGGUUAUAGCGACGGGGCUCACCUCUUACCUUUCCGAACAGAGAAGUUAAGCCCGUUUGCGCCGAUGAUACUACAUUCGUGGGAAAGUAGGUCGCCGCCUUCU
rnacentral:rRNA from 1 species